ACAUCGACGUCACUUCCUUUCGCUUGUGUGGUCGUUAGUAAGCUAACUAGCAAAGUAUAUACUCAUGGUAGACUUUAUCAACAAAUGUACUAUUUCUAAUGUAUCCAAAUGACGGGGUUGUGAUAGUAGAAGUAUUUUUGUAAAUCAGCUUGAACUGUUGAAGUUGCUGUUGAGUUAAUCUCGGAGGUCCCACACGAACUGAUCAUGGCUAGCAGUGCUAAUGCUAACAACAUGAAUGCUGUCCGAGAAACGAUGGAUGUGCUGCUGGAGAUCUCUAGGCUAUUGAACACAGGACUGGACAUGGAGUCUCUGUCUAUCUGUGUCAGGCUGUGUGAGCAGGGCAUCAACCCAGAGGCCCUGUCCUCUGUCAUCAAGGAGCUACGUAAAGCCUCCGAUUCACUAAAAGCCUCUGACAACUGAAAAUCUGAGACUGAUCCCAACAAAGCAGUUCUGCUGAGCGGAAGUCUUUUCACGCAGUCCAAGUUUCACAAUAUUGCCAAAUAGUGAGCGUCUAUUUCCCUGACCUAUUCCUCGUGCCUCUGGAUUUGAUCCCUGGCUUCAUUUGAAGAAAUAUGGUGUGUGUUUAACAUUUGGUCUGGCAACAUCAGUGGCCAAUUCUCCUUGAGUUCCUGUCAUCAGCUUGGUGUGCAAUCUGACAAUAUGAGUGACUGCAAUGCCCUGAUAUCCAAUGUUUCAGUAUCCCUCCCUCCCUCAAUCAUAUAGAUUGUCAGUUCAGUCGUCUUUCUUCUGACUGAAGGAAACCUAAUGAUUGGCACUCCCCAUCAUCACACAGUGCUACAAUGAUGGGUUGUUUUCAAUUCCUUCAUGGCUUUUUGGAUGUGUAAAAAAAAAAAGUCUUAUUUAUUGCGAAUUGUGUGUAGUUUUUAUAUGAAUUUAAAUGUCCGUUUUUUUCCUUCAAUGUCGGGCAUGUCAAAGUUAUUUUUUUCCUCUCUCUCGAAGUGUCCAGGAUUGUCAAUGAUGGAUGGAACUCAAUAUUAAAAGUAGUUGCAUUUUAUAUCCA